rnacentral:rRNA from 1 species
CGGCGGACGGGUGAGUAACACGUGGGUAACCUGCCUGUAAGACUGGGAUAACUCCGGGAAACCGGAGCUAAUACCGGAUAGUUCCUUGAACCGCAUGGUUCAAGGAUGAAAGACGGUUUCGGCUGUCACUUACAGAUGGACCCGCGGCGCAUUAGCUAGUUGGUGGGGUAAUGGCUCACCAAGGCGACGAUGCGUAGCCGACCUGAGAGGGUGAUCGGCCACACUGGGACUGAGACACGGCCCAGACUCCUACGGGAGGCAGCAGUAGGGAAUCUUCCGCAAUGGACGAAAGUCUGACGGAGCAACGCCGCGUGAGUGAUGAAGGUUUUCGGAUCGUAAAGCUCUGUUGUUAGGGAAGAACAAGUGCGAGAGUAACUGCUCGCACCUUGACGGUACCUAACCAGAAAGCCACGGCUAACUACGUGCCAGCAGCCGCGGUAAUACGUAGGUGGCAAGCGUUGUCCGGAAUUAUUGGGCGUAAAGGGCUCGCAGGCGGUUUCUUAAGUCUGAUGUGAAAGCCCCCGGCUCAACCGGGGAGGGUCAUUGGAAACUGGGAAACUUGAGUGCAGAAGAGGAGAGUGGAAUUCCACGUGUAGCGGUGAAAUGCGUAGAGAUGUGGAGGAACACCAGUGGCGAAGGCGACUCUCUGGUCUGUAACUGACGCUGAGGAGCGAAAGCGUGGGGAGCGAACAGGAUUAGAUACCCUGGUAGUCCACGCCGUAAACGAUGAGUGCUAAGUGUUAGGGGGUUUCCGCCCCUUAGUGCUGCAGCUAACGCAUUAAGCACUCCGCCUGGGGAGUACGGUCGCAAGACUGAAACUCAAAGGAAUUGA